rnacentral:SRP_RNA from 1 species
GCAGGGCACGGUGGUGCAUGCCUGUAGUCCCAGGUACUCGGGAGGCUGAAGUGGGAGGAUCACUUGAGCCCAGGAGUUCUGGGCUGUAGUGCGCUAUGCUGAGUGGGUGUCCACAGUAAGUUCGGCAUCAAUAUGGUGACCUCCCAUGAGUGGGGGACCACCAGGUUGCCUAAGGAGGGGUGAACCGGCCCAGGUCGGAAACGGAGCAGGUCGAAACUCCCUUGCUGAUCUGUAGUGGGAUCACGCCUGUGAAUAGCCACUGCACUCCAGCCUGGGCAGCAUAGCAAGACCCUCUCUUA